rnacentral:rRNA from 1 species
AGCGAACGCUGGCGGCAGGCUUAACACAUGCAAGUCGAGCGCCCCGCAAGGGGAGCGGCAGACGGGAGAGUAACACGUGGGAACGUACCCUUUAGUUCGGAACAACCCAGGGAAACUUGGGCUAAUACCGGAUACGUCCGUAAGGAGAAAGAUUUAUCGCUAAAGGAUCGGCCCGCGUCUGAUUAGCUAGUUGGUGAGGUAACGGCUCACCAAGGCGACGAUCAGUAGCUGGUCUGAGAGGAUGAUCAGCCUCACUGGGACUGAGACACGGCCCAUCCUCCGACGGGAGGCAGCAGUGGGGAAUAUUGGACAAUGGGCGCAAGCUUGAUCCAGCCAUGCCGCGUGGGUGAUGAAGGCCCUAGGGUUGUAAAGCCCUUCCGGCGGGGAAGAUAAUGACGGUACCCGCAGAAGAAGCCCCGGCUAACUUCGUGCCAGCAGCCGCCGUAA